rnacentral:lncRNA from 1 species
UCGCGCUAGCUACACUUUCUACACUUUCGUGGGGAGUGUACACUUGCGCGUUCGUUUUAGCGGACGUGACGUCAGAUGGCGCUGUUCGUUUUACAAAUUCCUUGCCUACGUCAUUGCCGGUUUAAUUGUAAGGUGCUGUGAGGUUAUGAGUGCUGGUGUUUUGGAAAUCUAAAACGUGUUUUCGACGCCAACAUCAAUCGAAAAUGUUUUCCAAAGGAUCCAGGUUUACGUAACAGUGAAGGAGACCGAUGACAAGAAAUCCAGAACUAUGAAGAAGCUUCAGGACCAAAUUCUGCGUUUGAAGAAACGUAUCAACUCUUUACAAAAUUUGGUACAACAUUUAACCGAUAAAGGGCUCAUGACCAAGGAAGCUGGCGAUAAUUUAUUGUCUUCUAUUCAAACAAAUCUGAUGUAAAUGGGGUUCAUCGAUGGUCAACAACUAUCAAGUCAUCAGUCAUUGACUUUCAAGCUGGCAAUGGUAAAAUCAGAUAAAAAAUGUGGCCUAAACUCGUUUCCGUUUGCAUUACCGAUCUGUGAAAAGCAGGUAUUUACCUCACACGCAGUUAUUGUAUCAGCCCCACAUUUGGCAGCCAUCAUUGAGAGCAGGCCUGUUCCAGUCCCAAUAUCAACAUAUCUGCGAAUGCUGAGCGCGCCACUUCUUGGUGAUAAUCAUAAUCCGGAUCUUUCUCUUCCCAGCAUAUUGUUCCUGUCAUUGGAUUGAAGCUCUGUGUGAAGACGCUCAUGUUUUUAUUACGCACAGUCCCUCGAGAUAGCUGCCUUACCGCAAAACGUCUGUGAAAGAAAAAUGAAAUAUAAAUUUUAUUCAAUUUUCAACGUCCAUGAAAUAGCCGUUAUUUUGAAAACUCCAUUUUCUAAGACAAACGUUAUAAGCCCUCGCUUUUAGCUCGAGAAUGUCUCAAACAGAGAAAAAAUCGCUGAGAUCAAUCUGAUUUCGCUAUUUUACAUUGAUUUCCAUGAAGAAACUAAAUUUCAAAUUAUUGAAUAGGAUGUGCUGAAUAUAAAAGAAAAAUAGUGAAAAAACAAGUUACAUGCUCCGUCAACUUCUUAUAUUUCCGUAACUAUUCAACUCGUGACAUUGAUUUUGGUAACAUUGAAGUAACGAAAUAUUAAAAUGAAAUUCACUGCUUAGCAACCUUCGACUGAAGCUGAAGGUAUUCAGUUUUCAAACUAUGAGAAGGGUUUGUUUUAUUAUGGUUUUCUAAAUUUCAGAGAAAUGUAGAGUAGAAAAAUAGCAACUUUUCCCAAAAAUGCAUCAUUAAAUUAACUUUACAAACUUGGACCGCCUUCACUUUCGGCAUUAGAGGCUGAGGAAUGUUAUAUUUAUUCAAGUUACAUUCUAUAAAUUAUUGAUCACAAAUGAAAUAUUAAAAUUUUUCUGGCAACAUACCAAUGAGAUCGCAAUGUAUGGGCGUGCAGAGUCCUAGUUUUCAUUCAAAUCAUACAAUAGUCGUGAUCUUGUUCACAACCAUAAGCCCCAACAGUCAAACAUUAUUUGGUAGUGAUACUUCAUGUACACUAAUCAUGUUAUUGAAUUUUCAUAACCUGUGUGUUCACCUAUCCAUAAUUGCUAUCUCAUUGUUAUGUUUUUAAAACAAUUUGAACGUUUCAUUUAGAAUUAGAGCUUAUACCUGAAAUUUCAAUCGAUCACGAUUGGUCGUAAAAAGUUUAAAAGUAAAUGGAUAAAAAAUCAACCUAGUUCAUAUGGUCAAAAUGAACCUUCAUACCACCUUAAAUAAUAAUUUAUAAAUAAAUUAACGUUUUCGAUUAUUACAACAAAUCUGAUGAUCAAAAUUCGGUCUUAUACGACAUUGUUAUCAUAGAUAUUCACGCCUAUAAAAAUUCUUACUAUUCUAUUCGAGCAUGCAUCAAGCAUCGUUACUUUUUAUCACUUUGUGAAAUCCAUAAUUUGAUUAUGUAUUGAAACAUUUUUUUAAAUAUAUAAUUAGGCAGAGCAAAAUGACAUCUUACAUUAUUUCAUUUAUUUUUCCGGUUUUCAGCAUCUGUUCUAUGCUGCUUAAUGCAAUGACGAAUGCCUCUCCUUGCUCUAGUACUAUCUAAAAUCCACUAGGUAGAAGUAUCAAGUUAUGCAGACUCUAUAAGUAAUGAGUAAUAACAUGGCAUACCCCUAUAAAUGAUUGCCAAAAACUGGGACAUUAUUCAUAAAGACAUCAAAAGACACAACUAGUAGGGCUGCAAGUGGUAUAGCAGUGCAGAAAAUAUGGUUAUAUGACUUGACAGGUUAAUAUCUACAGGAAAAGACAUAGCACACAUCCAUACAUCUAAGUAGCGUCACGAAUACCGCAGAAAUGGAACUAGAGAUAUGAACAGAGCGAGAAGGAAAAAUUACACAAAACAGUUUUCAACAUGGCCUAUAGAUUUUUGAUAUUCUUUAUUGCAAUGAUAUUCAAGAAACACAAGACUUACGAACAUGUGUUUGAAAUUAUACACGUAAUUAAAAUACAUAUAAAAUUUAUAAACAUUGAAGAAAAAAACACUAUAGAACGAUCAACAAAUAAAUAUCUUAUAACUCAUCGGAAAUGCUAGCAACAUUUACCGUGACAUACAAAGUUUUUUAAGUGUCAAUGGUCGAGAAAAGAAAAUAAUAUGUGAAUUGACGUUUCGGCCCUAAUGGGGGAGAGUGGGUCUGCUUAGAAUUAAAACAAAUUUAUUAAUGAAACAUUGUUGCAAAGGAACUGUGUUAUUGUACACGCGUAGUAAUGAAAUAAUGAAUUUAAAGAGAAAGGGAAAAGGUUUGAAACUUAGUAACGAUAACGGAACGAAACAUUAAGAACAGUCAUAUCCCAGAAGUUCCGAUGAAUUAAGUUUGCUUAGAAACUAAGUUUUCUACUAAUACUUGAGAAAGUCAAUCUGGCAGGGUAUGAAUGGAGGGCGAACUUGCUGACUGCCGGAAAAGAACCAAUCCAUUGAAAAUAUUUCUGAAAAACUGUAUAAUUAGGUAUUUCAGAAAAAAUUUCUCGAAAGUUUUUAAUUUACUAUGAAAAAUCCCAGUUUCCACAUUGAACUGAAAUGAGUUCCUAAAAUAUAAGUAUGUUUUAUUUUAAAUACAGGUUACUAAGUUUUAGACAAUGGUAGAUGUAUUAUUUUCACUACCUUAGAUGUACCGUGACUAUCAAUUGAUUCGUGUACGAUCAUAUCUAUUGCAUAAAAGUGCAGGCCUGGCUAAAAAUGCACAAGAUUGUUUGGUCAGAUAAGAUGGCUGCAGAAUUUGAUUUUAAAACAAUUGAGCGGUCAAAAGUUUCAUUGACAAUUAUUGUAGAAAAUAUUUGUGAUUAAAUAAAUAAUUGAAGAUUCCUAGAACUAGUAACAAUUGAAAUGUUUGACAUGGCUCGUACAAGGUCACUACUAGCGACAAAUGGUACCUCUACCUUCAGCGAGUUUCAACAUAACGAGUUUUUCUGGAAAUACAUUGUUACAUUCGUGUUACAAGUUUCAACUUGGUAAUUUGUCUGUGAUAAUGAAUAGUAGUUUACAAAUAACGUAUAAGUGGCUCAGAUAAAAAAAUUUCUGAG